AGUUUUUUGUUGUUUUAUAAAAAAUAGUUUCUGCCCGGUGAUUUUUAACGGCUGCGGUAAUUUGACCGUGCAAAGGUAGCAUAAUCAUUUGUCUCAUAAUUGGAGACUGGUAUGAAUGGGAGAACCAAAAUUAGUUCUUUUUUAAUCUUUAGUGUGUAAUUUUCUAUCAGAGUGAAGAAGCUUUGGUAAAAAGGGGGACAAGAAGACCCUAUUGAGCUUUACUUUAGGUUUUUAGUAGUAUUAACUAAAAUUUAAAAGUUGAACUGGGGCGGUUAAGGAAGAAGAAAUCUUCCUUUAUUUUUGUUUGUUAAAUUUUUUGAUCCAAGGUUUUUGAUAAAAAGACUAAGUUACCAUAGGGAUAACAGCGUAAUUUUUUUGGAGAGUUCUUAUUGAUAAAAAAGUUUGCGACCUCGAUGUUGACUUUUAAUAGCUUUUUGGCGCAGAAGCCAAGAUGGUGGGUCUGUUCGACCUUUAAAAAUUAA
rnacentral:rRNA from 1 species